UAGGGGAAUGAAACAUCUCUUUCUCCUGCCGGAGUAAUCGCAGCAGAUUUUCCCGGCGGGAUGAGGCAGUCUGACAGCCAUGAAGUAUCCCAGUUAAAUG
rfam:Peptococcaceae bacterium SCADC1_2_3 contig_37, whole genome shotgun sequence.